GGCAAGGAAGGAACAAAGAGUGCAUCAUUAAAGGAUUUAUGUCUGGAAGACAAAAGACGCAUCGCAAACUUGAUUAAAGAACUGGCCAGAGUAAGUGAAGAAAAGGAAGUGACAGAAGAACGACUGAAAGCUGAUCAGGAGUCAUUCGAAAAGAUCAGGCAGUUGGAAGAACAGAAUGAACUGAUCAUCAAAGAAAGGGAAGCUCUUCAGCUACAGUAUAGAGAAUGCCAAGAACUUCUAAGUCUCUAUCAGAAAUACCUAUCAGAACAGAAAGAAAAGCUCAACAUGUCUCUCUAAGAACUUGGUGCUGCUAGAAUGCAGGAGCAACAGGAAAGCAACAAGAAAA